GCGCCAGUGGUGUUGUGGUAUCAUGCCAGAUUCCCAUUCUUGUAAACUGGGUUCAAUUUCUGGGUGGUGCU